rnacentral:lncRNA from 1 species
AUCUAACACCAGUAAAUGUAGCUUUAGACCUACUGCUUUUGGUGAUAUUCAGGAGACAUUAUGAAAUCAUUAACACUUUUUGGAGUUAUCUUUAUCUAUUUAGCUCUCUUUGGAGCUACUUUUGCACAGGAAGAUGAUGUGGAACCGGAUAAGUAUAUUAAUCAGGAAAAACGAUUUUGGGCCCCUCUAGGAAGAUGGGUUGGAGGACAAGCUGCAAAGUUUGGAUUCAAAAAAUGGAAGAAGCACCAAGGUCAUCACAAAGGCUGAAAACAAAAUGAAUGAAGUAUAGAAGUCGAAAAGUUUCUAUGAUAUAUGUUAAUGUUCAUGUAUCAUAAUAAAACAAUAAUUCGAUCUGUGUGUAAUGAAAUUUCUUUAAAAACAAAUUUUGUAACAUUAUUAAAAUUAGAAUUAUAUAUACGAAAAUAUUUAAAGUUGUAUGCCUAACAUAUAAAAAUAAUGUACUGUAUAAUGUAAAUAUUUUAUGGUUGUGACGGAUUUUUAUUUUAAAAUAUUAAAGAAAUCUUUAGAAAUACAGUAAAACCUCGAUUUUACGGACCUCGAUUCUACGGACUUCGGAUUUUAUGGACACCAUCC